AAUUUGCAAUUUGCACAUUGACAGUUGAUUUUACAAAUCUUCGUUCCUCCAUUCCUCGCCCUUCGGUUUCUUUCGCUUUAUAUUGCUAAAAUAUGCUACAUCUGUAUCGAAUUUUCGUUUACCAUUGAAGCAAACUCUUAACAUGGGGUUGUUGGGGGCGCGUGAGGGGUGUUCUGCCGCGUGCUCGCUGCCGGCGCAGAGAGCUGGCGGGCACACGCGUGCGAGUGCCGCGCCGAGCUGUGCGAGCGAGCUCCUGCUGAGUGACGUGGCGCGCGAUGCGUUUCUGACGAGUCAGCCAUGGAUAAUGCGAGUGAAACUACACGAGUAGAACUCCAGUAGUGUGAAGUCUGACAGUCUCCUGUAAGUAUUGCAAUACUCAUUAUAAAGCUACAUUAUGUGUGAGUAACAUAGGCUAUAUUUUAACCCGGUACGAGCAGUAGUUCCCACGGAACGCAGGUGGUACUGCGGGAAAACGGCUAGUCUAUACUAAACUGACAAAGGUCAAUUGGUUUUAAAGCAUAUUAUGUUAUAAAUUGUUUGUUUACAUGCGCAUGGUGGCAAUGAGGGUUUUUUCAAUUUUUUCUGCCACCGGGUGGCGCCACGUAUGCAUCAGGUCCAAACAGCUGUCAAAUAGUAUGGAAUUGUAGGUGCCGAACUUAUUGUUUAUUGAAAUUCUGUUAUAU